rnacentral:ncRNA from 2 species
ACUCCGGCCUAAUUUUCAGGUUCCAUGCAAAUGGAGAAUAAGGGAACCCGGUGUAAAUCCGGGACGGGCCCGCCGCUGUAAUCGGGGACAGUAGCUGCAUAGUGUCACUGGUCGUAAGACCGGGAAGACGCAGCUAUAUGGUUGAUCCGAAAGUCAGAAGACCUGCCUGAAGACAACGGUACAA